AGGAGGAGGCUGUUUUCAAUGAUAUAUGGAAGGGUAAAAUUACUGGUGGUGGUGUUUCUAACAAUUCCUUUAGAAAGGGUCAAUCAAUGGAUAAUGUCACAGAAACAGGGGAUACAGAGCCCAACAAUACGAAAAUAGGUGCUCCCUCCGCUGAUGUCACUGAAGAGACAGUUGAUGGGUUGCUGAAAACAUCAAUACGUGUUGAAGAAGCCAAUACCUAUAGCUUUGUUUACGAGAACGGUGUCAGGGUCAAGUUUGAUGGAGGAGAUAAUCAUGAAGGACAGAAAGACAAUCAUUCUGAAGCUAUCGCCGCAGAUGGAAGUUUGUUGACCAGGGAGAGAGCUGAUAAUAGUGACUGCUUCAAAUACAUUAGUGGGUCCCAAUUUGAUAUUUCUAUGCAGAGCUUACCAGAUUCUGGAGCAACCAAGACACCUAUCUUUGAGAACAAUCAACAUGUUGCUUUUGAUGGCAGUUUAAAGGUGUCUGAUGAUUCAAAUUCUGCAUUUGUGAAGUCCUCUUCUGAAAUCUAUUGGAACAACCUUCUAGGAAGGGGUAUUCCACCAGAGGAGUUGAGUUUGUACUAUCGUGAUCCUCAGGGCGAAAUCCAGGGGCCAUUUCU
rnacentral:misc_RNA from 1 species